rnacentral:tRNA from 1 species
CGGCUUGGAGUGAAAUUAGUUCGGCGUCAUGGGGUGUCGGGGUCGGAGGUUCAAAUCCUCUCGUGCCGACCA